GUUUACUCAAAUUCAAUCAUUCACGUCCAACACCUUGUGGACCCUUGGAACUUUUGUUGCCGGAAUAUUCCACCUCCACCGCGUCGGGAUCGCCUCCGGCGGCGGUGGAGGACCAAACACCAAAAACCAAUACAUCAAAAUCUUCGUUUCCCUGAGCUAUAAACGAAUCCAACCUCAAUUUUAUCCAAUUCAUACCAAAUCCACCAAACCGAAUUGAACUAUCUAAGAACCCUAAAUUAGAUUUCAUAAAUUAAACCCCAACAUGGAGGAAUCAAAGCACCUAGGGUUAGGGCUUUGAUUCCUCUGCUCAAGAACUACACCAUGGUAACAAGUUCAAGGUGAAAGAAGGAGAAAAAACUAAGACCUACCACCGGAGAGGACGAAGUUGAAGACGACGACGACAGCAGAAACUCAGAUACUCUGCUUCAAUUUCGAGGUUGAUAUAUCAAAUGACUUGGCAUGACAUUAUCAAGAUCUUGGCAAAGCAUGAUUGAUAUUGGACAUUAAGGAGGAUGCUUGAUAUGAAUCAUGAACAAAAUUUGGAUAACUUAAAGAACCUGAUGGCACAAAUGGAGUUACAAAAGAAAAGUAGAUUUUGGGUCAGUUUGACUUUGAUCAACUGUUUAACCAAAAUCCAACUGUUGAUCAAAAGUCAACCUUAGGUCAAUAAUUUGAUUUUUGUUUAAUUUUGUAUUUUUCCUUCAUGUAACGAAAUUUGAAUGUUUGUAAUGAAAAAUGGAGCUUUGAAUGCAA